AUAACACAGAUGCAAUUGUGCUAUAUAUCCCUGUCUGGACGGGGCCUAAGUCUUUGCCACCAUGCAAAUGCAUUAGAAAAACUGGCAUAGCAGUCGCCAACCACUGCUUUCCAGCUCCACUUUUAUGAUCCUUUGGCUCUCCAAGGUGGGUGGCUGGGAUUAGGGACAGGGCAGCUUAAUUUUGUACAGUAUAAUUUUAGGCAGUAGUUUUUCCUCCUUGCUCUUUAGGUAGGAUUGAGUGAAGAACCAAGCAGUUCAACAGCAGGGACUGAAGUGAGAUGGGAGAAUGGAGGAAUAUGCUGAAAAUACAGAGGUUUCUAUGUACUUCUGAUGGCAAAAGAUCUUGUCAAGUAGCCAGUUUACACUAGCAAUUUGUUGUGAAAACACAACCCAAAUGGUCAGCAGGAUCCUGUGAAUCUGGAUAUUUUCACUAGCAAGCAGCAAAAUCUAUACACCAGACCAUCAUUGCAUCACAUGCAUUUUGCAGUACAACCAUAACUGUUUAUGUGACCUGCCUGAUUUUGGUGCACUUGUCUCACAUUUU
rnacentral:lncRNA from 1 species